AGACGAACCGUCCAAACGUUAUUCGGAAUCACUGGGCUUAAAGGGUGCGUAGGCGGCGCGGGAAGUUGGGUGUGAAACCCCUCGGCUCAACCGAGGAACUGCGCCCAAAACUCCCGUGCUUGAGGGAGACAGAGGUGAGCGGAACUUAGGGUGGAGCGGUGAAAUGCGUUGAUAUCCUAAGGAACACCAGUGGCGAAAGCGGCUCACUGGGUCUUUUCUGACGCUGAGGCACGAAAGCUAGGGGAGCGAACGGGAUUAGAUACCCCGGUAGUCCUAGCUGUAAACGUUGAGCACUGGGCCGGAGAGUCCUCCAUAGCUUUCCGGCCGUAGCGAAAGUGUUAAGUGCUCCGCCUGGGGAGUAUGGUCGCAAGGCUGAA
rnacentral:rRNA from 1 species